UGGGGAAUAUUGCACAAUGGGCGCAAGCCUGAUGCAGCGACGCCGCGUGGGGGAUGACGGCCUUCGGGUUGUAAACUCCUUUCGCUAGGGACGAAGCUUUUUGUGACGGUACCUAGAUAAGAAGCACCGGCUAACUACGUGCCAGCAGCCGCGGUAAUACGUAGGGUGCGAGCGUUGUCCGGAAUUACUGGGCGUAAAGAGCUUGUAGGCGGUUCGUCGCGUCUGGUGUGAAAGCCCAUCGCUUAACGGUGGGUUUGCGCCGGGUACGGGCGGGCUAGAGUGCAGUAGGGGAGACUGGAAUUCCCGGUGUAACGGUGGAAUGUGUAGAUAUCGGGAAGAACACCAAUGGCGAAGGCAGGUCUCUGGGCUGUUACUGACGCUGAGAAGCGAAAGCGUGGGGAGCGAACAGG
rnacentral:rRNA from 1 species